GACGAACGCUGGCGGCGUGCUUAACACAUGCAAGUCGAACGGAAAGGCCCUGCUUUUGUGGGGUGCUCGAGUGGCGAACGGGUGAGUAACACGUGAGUAACCUGCCCUUGACUUUGGGAUAACUUCAGGAAACUGGGGCUAAUACCGGAUAGGAGCUCCUGCUGCAUGGUGGGGGUUGGAAAGUUUCGGCGGUUGUGGAUGGACUCGCGGCUUAUCAGCUUGUUGGUGGGGUAGUGGAUUACCAAGGGUUUGACGGGUAGCCGGCCUGAGAGGGUGACCGGCCACAAUGGGACUGAGAUACGGCCCAGACUCCUACGGGAGGCAGCAGUGGGGAAUAUUGCACAAUGGGCGGAAGCCUGAUGCAGCAACGCCGCGUGCGGGAUGACGGCCUUCGGGUUGUAAACCGCUUUCGCAUGUGACGAAGAGUGAGUGACGGUAAUGGGUAAAGAAGCACCGGCUAACUACGUG
rnacentral:rRNA from 1 species